rnacentral:rRNA from 1 species
UGGGGAAUUUUCCGCAAUGGGCGCAAGCCUGACGGAGCAAUACCGCGUGAGGGAUGAAGGCUCUUGGGUCGUAAACCUCUUUUCUCAGGGAAGAAACCUGACGGUACCUGAGGAAUAAGCAUCGGCUAACUCCGUGCCAGCAGCCGCGGUAAGACGGAGGAUGCAAGCGUUAUCCGGAAUUAUUGGGCGUAAAGCGUCCGCAGGUGGUUUUUCAAGUCUGUUUUCAAAGAGCGAGGCUUAACCUUGUAAAGGGGAUGGAAACUGAAAGACUAGAGUUCGGUAGGGGUAGAGGGAAUUCCAGGUGUAGCGGUGAAAUGCGUAGAUAUCUGGAAGAACACCAGUGGCGAAAGCGCUCUACUGGGCCUGAACUGACACUGAGGGACGAAAGCUAGGGGAGCGAAAGGGAUUAGAUACCCCUGUAGUC